GUGAGGAAUUUUGCGCAAUGGGGGCAACCCUGACGCAGCGACGCCGCGUGGAGGACGAAGUCUUUCGGGAUGUAAACUCCUGUCAGUGGGGACGAUAAUGACGGUACCCACAGAGGAAGCACCGGCUAACUCCGUGCCAGCAGCCGCGGUAAGACGGAGGGUGCACGCUUUGUUCGGAAUUACUGGGCGUAAAGCGUAUGUAGGCGGCAAGUUAAGUUCAAUGUUAAAGCCCACGGCUCAACCGAGGAGAUGCAUUGAAUACUGGCUAGCUAGAGGGUGUUAGAGGAAGACGGAAUUCCCAGUGAAGCGGUGAAAUGCGUAGAUAUUGGGAGGAACAUCGGUAGCGAAAGCGGUCUUCUGGGACAUACCUGACGCUGAGGUACGAAAGCGUGGGGAGCAAACGGGAUUAGAUACCCUGGUAGUCC
rnacentral:rRNA from 1 species